ensembl:snRNA U6 U6 spliceosomal RNA
GCACUCGCUCUGGCAGCACAUACACUAAAAUUAGAACGAUACAGAGAAGAUUAGCGUGUCCCCUGCACAAGGAUGACGUGCAACCUUGUGAAACGUUCCAUAAUUUU